UACGGGGGGGGCAAGCGUUGUUCGGAAUUACUGGGCGUAAAGGGCCAGUAGGCGGCCAACUAAGUCGGAUGUGAAAUCCCCAGGCUCAACUUGGGAACUGCAUCCGAUACUGGAUGGCUUGAAUUCGGGAGAGGGAUGCAGAAUUCCAGGUGUAGCGGUGAAAUGCGUAGAUAUCUGGAGGAACACCGGUGGCGAAGGCGCACAUCUGGCCCGAUACUGACGCUGAGGCGCGAAAGCUAGGGGAGCAAACGGGG
rnacentral:rRNA from 1 species